AUUGAACGCUGGCGGAAUGCUUUACACAUGCAAGUCGAACGGCAGCACGGGUGCUUGCACCUGGUGGCGAGUGGCGAACGGGUGAGUAAUGUAUCGGAACGUAUCCAAUAAUGGAGGAUAACUAAUCGAAAGGUUGGCUAAUACCGCAUACGACCUACGGGGGAAAGCAGGGGAUCUUCGGACCUUGCGUUAAUGGAGCGGCCGAUAUCUGAUUAGCUAGUUGGUGAGGUAAAGGCUCACCAAGGCGACGAUCAGUAGCUGGUCUGAGAGGACGACAAGCCACACUGGAACUGAGACACGGUCCAGACUCCUACGGGAGGCAGCAGUGGGGAAUUUUGGACAAUGGGGGCAACCCUGAUCCAGCCAUUCCGCGUGAGUGAAGAAGGCCUUCGGGUUGUAAAGCUCUUUCGCAAGGGAAGAAACGAUACAGUCUAAUAAACUGUGUUAAUGACGGUACCUUGAUAAGAAGCACCGGCUAACUACGUGCCAGCAGCCGCCGUAA
rnacentral:rRNA from 1 species